rnacentral:rRNA from 1 species
AAGCGUGCGCAGGCGGUUUUGUAAGACCUGUCGUGAAAUCCCCGGGCUCAACCUGGGAAUGGCGAUGGUGACUGCAAGGCUAGAGUUUGGCAGAGGGGGGUAGAAUUCCACGUGUAGCAGUGAAAUGCGUAGAUAUGUGGAGGAACACCGAUGGCGAAGGCAGCCCCCUGGGUCAAAACUGACGCUCAUGCACGAAAGCGUGGGGAGCAAACAGGAUUAGAUACCCGUGU